AUAGAUUUGGGUGAGAUCAUGUUUUCCCUUUGUUAUUUGCCUACUGCUGGAAGAAUGACUUUGACAGUCAUCAAAUGUCGGAAUCUCAAAGCAAUGGAUAUAACUGGUGCAUCAGAUCCGUACGUCAAAGUGUCACUGAUGUGCGAGGGACGGAGGCUGAAAAAGCGGAAAACAACCACAAAGAAGAACACGCUGAAUCCUGUUUAUAAUGAGGCCAUCAUCUUUGAUAUCCCUCCAGAGAACGUGGACCAAGUCAGCCUCUCCAUUGCAGUGAUGGAUUAUGACAGAGUAGGGCACAAUGAGGUCAUUGGAGUAUGCCGGACAGGAAUUGACGCCGAAGGCCUUGGAAGAGAUCAUUGGAAUGAAAUGCUGGCUUACCCACGUAAACCAAUAACUCACUGGCACCCACUAGUAGAGCUACCUGGCCGAGCAACCAGUUUUGAUAGCCAGGGAUCCUGUUCCUCGCCCAAACCACCGCUUACGCCCUAGGGAGUCCGAAUGGAUCCAUCAUGCUCAGUGUCUAAAACUCCCCUGUAGCUCACAUCUACAUCAACAGAAGGUUUGGCUUCCACAGAUGAACUGUACCCAUAUUUUUUUAUCAAAAUACAUCUUUCCUAUUCUAAGUCUUAUAUGAAAGUUUAUAAUAAUUUGUUAAAGUGUGAACAAAGUUGACUCGAGUCAAAUAUAACCCUUCCUUGUGCAAAUUCAUUAAUCUGUUUUAUCUCUGGCAUAUAUCCAGUGUCAUAUCCAAGCAGUGGUUUGAUGGGGCCUGUAUCUUUUCACAGGCAAGGGACCAGAAAAAAAAUUCCCUUAAGUAAUUCAAAACUACUGCACCUUUUAACGCCUAAUUCUUUGGAGGAAGAAGAAAUAGUCAUAUACAGCUAGUGUAGUAAAUUCCUUCUAAAUUGCACUAAAUCUUCUGUGAUUUUGCAAGAUAGCACUUCAAACUGAAUGUUACAUGAAAAAAACCAACUGUUGUCAUGUUUUGAGUAUCUGGAAAAUCAGUUCAUUCCUUGGGCAGGGAGGAAGGGCUGAUUUAAAGCCCUCUGGAACCAAUGAGGCAGAUCUACUGACUUCAGGGUGCUUUAGGUCCAGCCCUUCUGAAACAGGUAUGAGAAUUGGAUCUAUGCAGUUAUAACCUUCCAGCACUCAUGAUGACAGCCACAUCUCUACACAAAUCAAACUGCAGAGGAGAGAAUGCUCAGAAGUAAAGGAAUUGAUUUAAAGUGAUUUAUCUCUUCACAAAAUUGACCAAAUAUUGCAGUUACCCAGAAAAUUUUUGUGAUUCUUGAUUUAAUGUGACAGACAGAUUUCUUUGAAAUUAUUUUGACUGAGUGCACAGCACACAUGGAAUUUAGUUUCUGGUUGCUGGCUGGAUGCCUCUAGACACAUAUGCUAAAUAUGAAUUUGAGAUGUGUUUUCUGUCAGUCUAUGGACAGAGAAAUCAAAAUGUGACUAUUUUACAAGCAAGUAAACUAAUUUAUUAGACUACACAGUGAAAGCAAAUGAAAAAAUCUAUUGGCUGUAGUCAGAUACUUUAAAAACUAGAGGACAACUACAUAUUAUUUUGUGGAUUUAUCUCCAAAUAUUGCAGUUUACCUCAAUCAGAUAAAUCAGAUAGUUACUUUCUUUUUUUCCUUUUUUCUUUUCUUUUUUUUUUCUGUGAAGAGUGUAGCACAGACAGCAUGGCUGGGACUGAGGUUUUGAAAGCUGGACUGUAAUUAGAAAAAGUUGGGUGGUAGCACCUUUUGUAUCUUUGCAAUAUAUAUGUAAAGAAAACAGAGGAGACUGUUUUCCAAAACAACAACUUUACAGAAAUGUCAUGCAGGAGAAAAUCUACAAAUGAUGAUUGAUUUAUGACAAUGAAAGGAAUUUUGAUAAUUAAUUUUGUAUUAAAUGAAAAGGUUGUUUUGGCAAACUUCUGAAGAACCAUUUUGAGUUGGUUUAGCCUGGCUGACAUGUUCCUGAAGAUCCAGUCCCUCCAUGCCACUGACUAAUCUCUAAGACAGUCAAAAAUACCUUGAAGUGUCUUAAACUGCUCCAGAAAAGCUAGCAGGGCUGGUCUUAACAUUGCAGGUGUACCUAAGACAAAAAAGGAAGCAGCUUUUAUACCUUGCCUCCUGUGCCUAUGAACACAGCAAGCAAGAAAAUAAAUAUAAAAAUCAAUCUCUCAGAUAGUCAUUAGAAAUAAGGGGGGAAAAAGAAAAUAAAAGAAAGAAAAAAGGGAUAAAAAGAAAAGGCUCUAGCUCAAGUUUUUGAAUGCCUGUUUCAGGUUGUUAUUCAUGGCCUCUAAGUAGAAAUGGUUUCUCCCAGAGAGGAUGGGUAGUGCUGAACACUGAUCCUCCCUGCUUGAGAUUGUAUUUUCAUCACCAUAAAUACAGAGCAGCCUUGCAGAAUUUCAUUCCUCCUUUUGCUCUCGAUGAGUAAUUUGUUUUAAUAGGAGAACAAACUCUCCUCUCUGAGGUUUUUUCCCUCCCAUCUUUGUUAUCCUAACAAAAUUCUGUGGCCUAGAUAAUUUUCAACAUGAUUUCUGCAAGGCUGAUGCAGAAACAUAUAUAUAUAUAUGGAGACUGAAAAACUAUUUUAUGUAUACAUUUAUCUUAAUAUAAAUUAUAUCAACAGUGGCCUUUGUGGCCUCAAAAAUACUUUUUGUAAUGUGGUACUGUAACGGUUAAUUAAAUAUUCUUUGCACUUUUUUGCACCUAAUAUCCAAAAAGCGAACAAAUUCACGAUCAAAUGUAGCAUAAGUGUUCAGCAAUGAGCAACGUGUUUUUACCUAUCUUACUGUUCUCUGACUAUCCUGUGUGUUUCCUCAUAGGUAGUAAGGUAUUUCAAGAUUUAUUUUCUUAAAUCUUCAUUGUUGUCAAAUGCCAAAGGCUCAGUUUGUGCCCCCUUGUUGUGUUAAUUUUGGUAUUGUUAAUAACAACAGUGAAUGACUUCUGUGUCUAAACUUGAUUGAUGGGUGCUCUGCAUCUAGGAGAAAUCAGGCUGCAAAAUCAUCUGGACAUCUAGCUUCAAAAAUGAUCCCUUAAAUAAUUAUCUUUAUUCCCUUAGCAGUGAUUAAUAGAAUUAGUGAAAAAGAUAUUUUUCCCCAUUGUUUCCUUAGCCAUCUCAAAAGACAGGAUAGGUACUUAGAUUAACUCAUCCAUUGGUUUAAGAGCCUUUUCACAAGUUAUUCCCUGUGACAUCACUGAAGCACCAAGAGCUUAGCACAGUGUAAGUCAAGGAAUAUGUUGCUUGAUGUAUAUCAUUAUUAAGGAAUUUUAAAUAUUUUAAUUUGGAAAUUUGGAGAAGCUGCAAGUUCUCUACUCCCAUCCAGAUUUUUUUCUCUGCUUAUCCACGUUUCUUCUAUAUCUCAUGCAUUACCCUAAUUUAGGAAAAAACAAAUGUGGCAAAAGGCUGGUUUAAGAUAUCUUGUAGUACUUUUACAACAGUUAGAAAAUCUUCUUUUCCUAAAGGCCUGAGCUAUUUUGCUUGAAGCAGUUUACUGGAAAAUGCACCAGUACUUAAUAAGAAUUGUAUUUGCAGGGUUUCACACUGCACAGGUGAGCACAAGCUCACAAAGAUUUAAGUCAUGUACUGCACUCCAUGACCUCAGCUUUGGAUCCCAGCAUUUUACAGUUCUGGUGACAUGGCCCUUCCCCUCACCCUCCCAGAAAACAACCAGCUCUUUCCUCACCAUCUUUUGUCUAUGCUGGACUUAGGAAUAUGAAUAUUGGUCAGAGAUAAAGUGGCCAGCAACUUCCCCUGCAAAAUUUCUUCUUCAAUAAAUGCAAUUCUUUGGACUACUUAUUUUUAAGUAACAAAAUUGUAUAUUUUUCUUAAAGAAUCACCACCACUUCCAAUAUUUUUGAAGAAUAUAUUAAGCUACCAAUAAAUGUUUUCAUUGGGUUGAUUUUUUUCAAGGGAAAAAGCAAUUACCUAGUUUCUUUCUGUGGAUGCAUUUUUGGAGCAAUAUUAAGAAAAAGUUUAGUUAAAAGAUUCAUUUGAUCUAUCCUUUUCUCCUCUUUCUCAGCUUUUUAAUUGGAUUCAAUGCAAUCCUUUUAAAAUUUUUUAACAUAAUGAUGUACAACAUAUACAUGAUAGUCUAGUUAAAAGAUUAUUUUGCUAUCUCUUUUUUAUAAACUUUUAUAUGUACUAGCUUUUAUUAUACUCCAUUAAUUUUACAGGCUUUAUACAUCUGAAAUCAUUUGUCUGUAUUUUUUGGGUGAGCAAACAUUCAAAAGAAUGGUAUUUCAGAACUCAGUAAUAGAGUUCUUCUGCUGAAAAUAUAACAUUGUUCAGAAAUCCAUAAAUGUGCCUGCCAAAUUUGAAAAUCACCUUAUUUGAGCAUGCAAAAAACCUAGGUUUGCACAUACAAGUAUUUGCACUUGCUAGAUGUACAAUCACUAUUAUUUAGCACCACUGUUACAACAGAACACCCACACCUAAUCAGAAAUACAUUGCAGUUCAUUAUAAACACCUGACAAAUGUGCACUGAGUGACAGUUCCUUGACCUGAAAAGUUCAUAUGACAUUUCUACAAAUGAACAUGCUUGAAAAUUAGGUAGGUGUUAAGAUAUGGUGUAUAUGUAAAUCAGACAGUGAGGUGACUUUUGGACAAAGCUCAUGUAAUAUGUGUUGGACAAUCCAAAAUAUGGGUAAAAUAUACCAAAUAUAUGAGAAAUAUUAAUGCAGGUUUUGAUGGGACAUUUUCUCUCUCAUUCACACCAUAGCACAAAUUUAGUUUAACUCAAGAUUCACUUUCAUUUAGCUUCUGAGUCUUGCCAGUCUAAACUGAGCUCUGUGAAAACAGUUAAAUUAUGGCACAGAGCAGACCCAGAGCUAGGAAAGAUGAAGCAAAAUGUGGCAGUAGACACAAAGCUGUUCCAUGCAAAUGCCCUGAAAUGGAAACCUUCCCUCUGUAACAGAUUCCAACAGUUUUACCACUUGUCCUUUCUUUCUCUGCUGUAAAAUGGGACAAAAGAAGCACAUUCCUGAAGAAGAAUCAGCAUUAGGCAUAGGAGUUAAUUGAGGUGCUGAUCACAGCUAUUUGCCUUUUCCAAGGCAAAAACUACAUUUACUUCUAAAAAAGUGUCUUUAGUUUACUCAUCUAAAUGAAUAAAUAUCUCCUGCACAAGGCACUUUUCCUUAACCCUUGAAAACGGCAGUUUUUUUAACAGCAUGAAGGAAACCAGGAGCUAGAAAUCUAAGAGAAAGUGAAGCUGCAGGUGGGAUUUGAAUUUCACAGGGCAAUCUGGUCAGGAAAAUGGAACUAACACCUUCAGUCUUGUGCUGAGUGCUAAGGGAUGCUUGGUGAUAGCAGGUGCUCAGGGCUGUAAUUUGAUGUUUUAUCUGAUAGCAUCUCUACAAUGUUGCUGUUGCUGGGAAACCUCUUUAAAGGCACAGAGAGCAGAAUGCCUCUACGAUUGACACGUGAAUUCUUUUCCACCCAAGUGUAGACUGUGAUUCUUGUGUUCCAUGGGGCUCAGUCCCCUAGAAGGGUACAAAGCAAAUUUGCAGAACAGGAAAAACCAGUUUGGUACUGUGCCAUCAUGGGGACUAGUCACUUUGCUGGUUUUCAAGACAAGUGUUUGUGCCUUGCUGAUCAAGGGAGAACAUUUCGUACAGCACUCUGUAGCUCAGCCUGUGUUGCUGAGACAUGCUGAUGCUAUUGAAGAUCCUCAGUACCAACACUGUCAAAAUAUAACUAAUACAUAUAAAUACAGGUUAUAUAGGUUGCCAGAACACCAAAGCUCCCUCCUGUGGAAAAGGAACGAUGACUGCCUGAAAAAUAAAUCAAGGCAGUAUGUUCUGGAAGCUGGACCUGCAGGAAGUCACAGAGCUGCUGUGAUGAAAGUGGAGCUGCUCUGUAAUAAUUUAUGAAUACAAUAUGUUGAGUUGACUAUUGGUCCUGAACUAGGUGAGUUCAAUAAAUUUAGGGGAAAAAAUGUUUGACAGGGGAGUGUCUCUCAGGAGCAAAUGAGUUGUAUGAAAUGUUAAUGUCCACCUUGGUGGCCUGGGAGAGUCUGCUGAUGCUGUAGCCAGUCUGAAAAAUGCAUCUCAUCUAAAAUUGAGAAAUCCCAAGCAGGCAUAGGGGAAAAGGCACAGGAAAGAUCAAAAGAUCCGAUUCAGAGCAUAAAAGAUUUAUGUCUGAGCAGGCUGGGGAUGCAAGCUGGUACUGUAGUUCACAGAGAAAAUAGGUGUGGUUGCUCUCCCAUGAAUGGGUGAGAAAGCUUGGGACAGGACAAAUAUGCAUAUAGGCUGUUAUUUUCAAUUCCAUUUAUUUGAAAUAUUUAAGUUUGCAUAUUUAAGAUUAAAUAUUUAAAUACCAUUCUAUUUUUAAUGGAGUAUUCACAGACUCUCUAAAAGAAAAGUUGUGCAUCCAUUCAGACUGCCUGGUUUGGCACAGACACAGUGUCCCAAAGCCCAGCAUAAAUUAAAGAAUUGUGAAAUGCUGCAUCUCCCCUGGAAAGGUGAAGUCAGGAAGCCUGACACAAAAAAAGAACUGAAGACAGACCAAAGAAAGGAUGAGGGCACAGUUAUUUCACCACAGUUUCAGGGUUCACAAAGUCAUUGGUUAGAAAAGGGUGCCAGAAACAUGUUUUCAUGGCAGUAACCUACCUCUUAUACAAUUUUCCUCUCCUUCAAAAUACAAGUAUAUAAGUGUUUCUGACAGAUUGCUUUUAAACAGUUUGGGACGUUUUCAUCCCUUAAAAAUUCAAGACCCUGAAGUAAAGUAAAUCCAUCCAUGUAUCUACCCAUGAGUAAAAUAAAAUAAAAUUUAAACAAGAAUGGGGAAUAAAAACUUUCUGUAUAAUAAAUAAAGGUCUAGAACAUGCUAAAAAUUUCUUUCCUGUGUUGAAUAAUGGUAUAGAUUUUUUUUAUCUUGGGACCUCUUAGUUUAAAAAGGAAAGACUAUGAUACUGAUUGCAAAGCAAUAUUUUACUGCAGGUAUAGGAUACCUAGUUGCCUGGCCCUGUGGGAUUUUAAAUAUCAGAAAUGUUCCAACAAAUAUUCAUCAAGAUCACAGAUAGGAAUUUUAGGCACUUAAGAUUAGCACUGACAAAAAGGAAUCUGAGUUUUUUGGGACACAUUCUAGGUUAAUUUCAGGAGAAGUUGUAGGCUGUUGGAUAUUUUUGUGAGGCAGAUACAUUUCCAUAAAAGUAGUCUGCAAGAGGAGAGAGAAAAAGGGUCGAGUUGCUUUUUUUCAAUAUGCUAUGAGUUGAGACUGAUAAUAGGAUCAGAAGUGAAGAGGUCUGAACAAGAAGAUAUUUAAAAUCUCUUAUUACAUCUGAGCUAUAACAGGAGACAAGAGAGGAGGGGAAAAGCCUAUAGAGUAUGAAAAGAGCCCUCUGGAAAAUUAAAAAAAAAAGCAAAAAAAUAAACAAACCACCACCACCAAAAAAGCGAAAAAUCUGUUAAAAGGAAAAGUGGAAAGUAUAAAAAGGGGUUGAAUAGCCUUUUCAAUAGAGAAAAAUGUAUGUGUAACAAAUACUUCCAAAUAGAAAAGGAUUUUUGACAUGAUUCCCCCACCUCAUAUCUUGUACAGCCAUUUGCCAGCUCACGAGGGUAACGGGAGCCAAUUUCAGAACCUGAGUCUGUUCUUCAAAUAAAAACAAUCCUCUGCCCAGCAGAUCCUGCUCUCAGAUGAUUCACAGUGCAAAGAGCUCAUGGCACAAUGAGGCAAAAAAAAGACAUUUCCCACAUGUGCUCAGACAUGUGGAUGGAUGCUGGAUGGCCUCCUGGAUGCUGAAAUGGCCUCCUAUUUAUUUGCACCUGACAUAGGUUGGAAGAUCUCCAAUAGGUGAAAAAAAAACUUUUAUAUAUUGUCACCUCUUCACACUAUCAAAACUCCUGUCAGGAAAAUUAAUCCACAAACAUCAGAGGUUUAUGUCCAAGAAGGAGACAGUGGAGUCCUUUUACUGCAUUCAAAUAAAGGGAGAAGCCAUGGGGCAUUCCCCUGGGGUCUCUCAAAUUUUUGGAGGACACAGCCUCCUCUUUUAUCCUAAUUUCCCAGCCACAUUUCCCUUCUCUCUUUCCCCAUUGGCUGAGGUACUUGAGAGGUACAGGCUUCCCAAUACGCCCAAUACAAAAGAUUUCCCUCCGAUGUAUAACCCUCCCUUUCAAUUCUUAAUUCUUAUGGAAUUUAGCAUUUUUCCCCAUUGUUUCUUUCAUCUUUCAAUGUCUACUUUCAUUUAUCAGCAAACUUAAAGCUUAUUUGUAAAAGCAAAUAUCUUUUUCCAUUCAUCAAUCAGUGGAAUCCUUCCCAUUUUUUCUUUUAUCUCUCAGUGCUAGUUUUAUCCACCAGCAGACCCACAGCUUGUUUGUAAAGACAAAUCCACUAUUCCUCUCACUCCUGACAAAGAGUGCUUGAAUAAACAAUAGGAAACAGCUCUGGAAAUGCUGCUGUGGUACAAAAGGUACUGGUUUUGUUCUCAAGUCAAGCCUCAACUAAUACCACAAAAUGGUGGACAAGUCAUUGGGCUGCUGCAGGUGCUAAUUCUCUGAUAUCUCAAAAAUACGAAGUCAUAAUUAUGGUGUAUUUCUCCCUUAAUAUCCCACAGGUCUUUGUGUAUGAAUAGGGUCCUGGAAUUGAGGUUUCAGCCAAAUUCUGUCUCCUCCUGUUCUUGGAGGUUCAGCUGAAUAAUAAAUUCUUAUUCCUUUGUCCCAGAUUUUCACAUAGUAGUGGGUGUACUGUGAAUGUUUCACCCUAGGAGUGGCUGCCUCUUAUUAAAAAUCAGAGUGAUCAAUAGAGGACCAUUACACCCCUCACUAUGGCUUUCUGAGGUUUAAUUGUGUAAUAAUAGGAAAUGACUGCAUAGCUGAACAAGACAGAGAAUUGCCAGCUGUAAUUAUUUUUGUCAAAUGGGUAUGUGUGGAUGGCUAUGUCUUUCUUCUUCUUAUAAAUGGAGACUUGGCUGCCACGGAAAAUGAUAAAGGAGAUUUUGUGGACUCUCCAAAGAGCACGUCACACUCUUACAUCUAUUCCUUUCAAGCCUCAUGUAUUAUAAGUGUUUAAUGAUCUUAAUUAUCCUACAGCACAACAUCUGAUUAAUUUAUUUAAACCUACAACCUUUUCAGUUCUUAGUCCACACAGGUAACUUUGGGCUAUGGAAUCAGAAUCACUAAUGAGAUUAGCUUUAUCUUAGCCAGCAGCCAAAAUCUGCACAGCUGGACGUUUUCUGUAUUCCUCUGAAAGGGAGCCUGGCACUAUUGCACUUUAGCUACUUGCCAGUAGCAGACAAACAAUAGUAGGUCACAGCCAGGUUUCAGAGAAGCUCUGAGGAUUAACCCCUCAAAUCCUGGCUCUUAUUCUGCCUUCCCUCCAGGCACAGGGCAGUCUAUGAAGUUGAAGAGCAGUCCUACCUAAAGAGGGCUUGAUGAUGAGUAAUCUGUGCUGAGAAAAGAGAUUUCAUUCAGAUUAUACCAAUAUGGCUUUUAAAUUUUUCUUUCCUUUUUUCUCAUGUACUGUUGUUAAAAAUUGACUUUUUCUCAAGACAGAACAUUAUAAUUAAAUCUCUAGCAGGGCAAAAAAUGGCACUAAAGUACCAAUUUACUCAUGCACUGAAAUAAUACUGAUGCAAAAAAAAAAAAAGUAAAAAAGCCUUUCAGCAAAAAAUAUCUGUGGCAGCAAAAUAUAAAGAUGCUGUCCAAAAGGCAUUUUCCUUUAUAUGCGACUUUUUCUGACUAGAAUUAGAAUAUUCCACCUCCUUUUCUGGGUUAUCUCAAAAAAACCACAAAACAGUAAAUGUAUCUAAUGUAGUUUUAAUAGUUAUUGGAAUAAUAUAGCACAAUAAAAGUUAUUCAGUUCAGUCUCUUUCAUCUCAAUGUGUAUUAACACAUUAAGAUUUCAUUUUUAUAUUUUGCAUUGCUAAAAAAUCUAUUUAUCACCCUAUUCCAAAUAUACAAAUAUUCUAGUGUGCUUUCAAAAGGAACUUUCAUUGAGCUAAUCACUUGCUAAUUUAUACACAAUAGUUCUUGUAUUAAUUAAAAUGAUAUUAUUUUCUUAAUAUCAUGAAAAUAGACCAAAUAGAACAAAGUCACUCUGUAGGUCUUUUUAAUAUGUAAUUUCCUCUGAAAGCACUCUGUACUUGGCCAGCCCAACACUGAAAUUCAGCAGGACCACUGCUGCUUAUUUCAGUGCACUCCACAUCAAGUUACACAUGAGGAUGUGUCAUAGCUUCUUAUGAAAUGAUCCCAGUCUCAAGGAAAGCAGAAUGAUUUCUCUUACAUCCACCAUGGAUUUUUGUCACUUUCUGACAGCUCAGACUAUAUUAGAAGUCUUCAGCACGUCUCUGGGGUAUGAGCUAUUAUUGCAAAUGCUGAUUUUACUAAUACUGGUAGGAAAGAUGAGCCUCAGCUGCCUGACUUGGUAAAUAGAAAUGUCUGGUGUAUGUAGUCAGACAUGGAGGUGAUGUGUUUUUACAUACUUUUCCUUUCUAAUAGUGGCCUGCAAGUUUCCACAAAAUGCCAUUUUGUUUUGAAGCUCAGAGGGUGUGUAUAGACUAAACCUUUGAUAUGGAAUUUUUAGAUAGUCCUGUUGCACAUCAGAUAUAAAGCACUUCUUUUCAGUCUAUAUUUCUAUGGAAAAAAUAUUGAACAAAGUUUAAUUUUGUUAAAUAUAUUGAAAACUAUUUCUCAAUAGAAGGAAAAAGCCUAGAUAUAUAUUUAGCAUUGUUUCUUGUUUCUUUUUCUUCCAAGUGUAAGUCUAAAUUCUUUCUAUGCUUCUCUAUUUAGGUUUCUGUAGGAUAUGUUGGACUUAAAUGCACAUGUCUAAGGAUGGGAUAUGGGGUUUUUUAUAUCCUAGAAGUUGACAAGCUGGCAUCCUGAUUUGGAGAGGCACUUCUAACUUGUGCUUUCUCCACUUUCUGGGGGAGAUCACGAGGGUGCCUGUUCAGAAAGCCAUGUGAAAUAUUGUGUUAGCUCUGUCCUGUUAACCUCAGCCCCCUCCAUGGCAGUACAGCCCUGCUGGCUGGGAUGGAGUGGGCAGAGCUGGAUGGCAGCUCCUCCUUGCCCUGCUCUGCCCAGCACCCACCACCUCGGGCAGCAGGAGUGCAGCACCAGCUCCUCUGAACCAUCCAGGUGCUCCUCCAGACACCAAUCACAAGGGGAGUCCCAAAAACCUUCUCCUUCCUUUCCAUGAGCUUGUAGUCCAUGCUGCAUUUGAGCUGACCGGCUUCAGUGUGCUCCUUGUGAGAACUGAAGCGGGGAGAGGAGAACAGAACUCAGCCACAUCUUUGCUUCAGCACAGAACAUCAGGUUUUCCUGGUAUAUACUUGUUUGUGGGGAAGGCAUUCCCCAGAGUGUAUGCUUCAAAAGGUAGGAAGUUAAAAUGGAGUUCCUGGCCACAGGAAAUACUGACAGCUAAAAAAAAGAAAAAAAAAAAAUCCACUUAGUAUUUAAACAUUUAAUAUCUUGAUAUCUUAAAUGAAAGCACCCAACACAACAUCUGACAGGAUUUGCUGUGACAGUGAGGGCUCUGGAUUAGGCCCUAACUGGCCCAAACUCUAACAGAACUCCCUACCUUUAAAACAAUCUUUAUGAUUAGAGCAGAAAUGUUGCCAAGUCUAUGUAGCUUACAAAGAUCUGCAGAGUUCUUCUAACAUUUUGUCUCUUCUUGCUAUGUGGUGUUGGCUGACCAAGAUCUACUAUUAAAUACCUGACUGUUUUAGUACCCUUUAUUCAGUGUUCAUGAUGUGACUUUUUAAAUGAAGUCUGUGAUUUGAUACCUAGACAUUGUUCAAGUCAAUAUCCUUGGCUUCUGCAUUAUAGAGACAAGAAAACAAAACUUUUUGAACUUGUGUUACUGGCUUUUUGUAUGCGCUAAAUGGCCAUUUGUGAAACUUGACAACAUAAAUUGUACUACUGAUAGUAAAUGGGGUUUUUUGCACUAGCCUUUGGGAGCUGUAGCACAUUUCAGUAUUUUUACAAUGUAUUCUCUAUAAAGUGUGAAUCUAUUUGUCAGUUCUGAAAAAAAUAUGUAACAAUGAAACCUCAAAAAAUGUUAUGAAGUGUACAGUUUGUGAUAAUUUUAUAUUUAAAAAAAGACAAGAAAAAUCAAAGAGUUCAUUUGAAAUAAUUUUAUUCUAAUUGUUUCAUAUGUAUUUUGAACAAGAAAUAAAGUGAUUAAAAUUAU